rnacentral:lncRNA from 1 species
UCGGUCAUAAUUCUACGUAUGACGUUCUUUCAAACCUAGUUUUAAGUUAUGUAUGUCUUCCUCUUCUUUUGUUUAUUGGCCUCUACCUGCAUGGGUAUUUGGCUCGUCCAUCGUCUUGGAAUAAAGGAAUAAUCCCUUAUUCACCUACAAUUUAGAGUUGAUAUCGGACAAAUACAACAAAGGUAAAAACGUUUCUCGUACAGGGAUAACUGCCGACCAUUACACAAUCUGCUUCUACUUCUUCUCGUUCUUUAGUUAAUUGGCAAAUUGUCAUGGGACAAAUACAACAAAGGCAAAAAUCUUUCUAGCACAGGGAGAACUGCCGAUCAUUACAAGAUUUCCCUGGUGUAAGCUGGGCGAAUUAUCGCGAGGGAUAUAACCCAAUAAAGGAAGAAGAAGAAGAAGAAGAUCAUUACAAGAUCUUGUAAUGUGGCCUCGGUUAGUUGAAGUGAAGAACCCAGAUGAUUACAGACAGACUGUUAUUUAUUACAAAAUAUUGUAUUGGGAUUUUACCCAGAUUUGAAUUAUCUAGUCGUAUGUAAAUUUUGACAUAGUGCUCAAAUUAUUUAUCAUUUUAUCCAUUUAUUUUCAAUAUUUUGCUUUCCUCGUAACUACGUAUGACGUUAACAUGACAUUAACAUUUUUUUUUUGAUUUCGCAUAAAGUAAAAAUCAAUUGAAGACAAUAA